rnacentral:lncRNA from 1 species
CCAAUGAUGGAAUAUUGAAAAUCUUCAUCAAGCAGAGCAGUUUGUGCUUGAUUAAAAUUUAUGGAGGCUAUUGUAAAUAAUAAGAAUCAACCCUGGACCGCUGAUAUUAUCUAGGUAAAAUUGGAUAUUCAAUGUUAUAUUGCCGUGAUUCUAUGAUGUUUUGAAAAUCUGUGGCUACAGUAGUAAUUGAACGUUGACCGAGUAUUCGCACCGAAUAUUUCUCUGGUCUGUCAGUUUGUAAGGAGAGGUUUAUUUGCAGCACACAAGGACCACGGACGACAGCGGCGGCUCGAGGACGAUGGGGGUGGAGGAAAAAAGGCCGGUAACGAGGCGCGACAACCGUA